rnacentral:tRNA from 1 species
UGCCCAGGGAUGAUAAUCGAACCCACAGUGUUCCGCUUACCGGGCAGAUGCCAUGUCCACUAGGCUACCCUGGAC